AUUGAACGCUAGCGGGAUGCUUUACACAUGCAAGUCGAACGAGUGGCGGAAGGGUGAGUAAUAUAUCGGAACGUGCCCAGUAGCGGGGGAUAACUACGCGAAAGAGUGGCUAAUACCGCAUACUAUUGGAGCGGGGGAAAUCGGAUUAGCUAGUUGGGGGGGUAAAGGCUCACCAAGGCAACGAUCCGUAGGUGGUUUGAGAGGACGACCAGCCACCCUGGGACUGAGACACGGCCCAGACUCCUACGGUAGGCAGCAGUGGUGAAUUUUGUACAAUGGGGGAAACCCUGAUCCAGCCAUCCCGCGUGUAUGAGAAGGCCUUCGGGUUGUAAAGUACUUUUGGCAGAGAAGCGGUAUCUGCAGAAUAAGCACCGGCUAACUACGUGCCAGCAGCCGCGGUAAUAC
rnacentral:rRNA from 1 species